rnacentral:rRNA from 1 species
UACGUAGGCAGCAAGCGUUGUUCGGAGUUACUGGGCGUAAAGGGUGCGUAGGCGGCUUUUUAAGUUUGGUGUGAAAUCUCCCGGCUCAACUGGGAGGGUGCGCCGAAUACUGAGAAGCUAGAGUGUGGGAGAGGAAAGUGGAAUUCCUAGUGUAGCGGUGAAAUGCGUAGAUAUCAGGAGGAACACCGGUGGUGUAAACGGCUUUCUGGACCAUAACUGACGCUGAGGCACGAAAGCGUGGGUAGCAAACAGG